GACGAACGCUGGCGGCGUGCCUAAUACAUGCAAGUUGAGCGCUGAAGGUUGGUACUUGUACCAACUGGAUGAGCAGCGAACGGGUGAGUAACGCGUGGGGAAUCUGCCUUUGAGCGGGGGACAACAUUUGGAAACGAAUGCUAAUACCGCAUAAAAACUUUAAACACAAGUUUUAAGUUUGAAAGAUGCAAUUGCAUCACUCAAAGAUGAUCCCGCGUUGUAUUAGCUAGUUGGUGAGGUAAAGGCUCACCAAGGCGAUGAUACAUAGCCGACCUGAGAGGGUGAUCGGCCACAUUGGGACUGAGACACGGCCCAAACUCCUACGGGAGGCAGCAGUAGGGAAUCUUCGGCAAUGGACGAAAGUCUGACCGAGCAACGCCGCGUGAGUGAAGAAGGUUUUCGGAUCGUAAAACUCUGUUGGUAGAGAAGAACGUUGGUGAGAGUGGAAAGCUCAUCAAGUGACGGUAACUACCCAGAAAGGGGCGGCUAACUACGU
rnacentral:rRNA from 1 species